GGGGUUCCCGCUGAGCGCAGGCGGCGGCCGGAGCCUGGGCGGGGGUUGCGCUGCUCUCGCGAGAGCGCCAGGCGCGGGCAGUAGCGGGCGCGCGCGGCUCUCGCGAGAGCUGCGGCCCCGGCCCCAAAAUGGCGGAAGAGGAGGUGGCCAAGCUGGAAAAGCACCUGAUGCUUCUCCGCCAGGAGUAUGUAAAGCUGCAGAAGAAACUCGCUGAUACGGAAAGGAGAUGCAAUCUGCUGGCUGCCCAGGCGAACCAAGACAGUGCCAGUGACACCUUCAUCACUCGACUUCUCGCCAUUGUAGCUGAACUCUAUCAGCAGGACCAGUACAGUGAUCUGAAGAUAAAGGUUGGGGACAAGUGCAUCAGUGCUCACAAAUUCGUCUUGGCGGCGCGCAGUGAUACUUGGAGUCUUGCCAACCUUGCGUCAACAGAGGAGCUGGAUCUGUCAGAUGCUGACCCAGAGGUAACCAUGGCAAUGCUGCGCUGGAUCUACACAGAUGAACUUGAGCUGAGAGAGGAUGAUAUCUUCUUGAUAGAGCUCAUGAAACUAGCUAAUAAAUUCCAGCUCCAGCUGCUUAGGGAAAGAUGUGAAAAAGGAGUUAUGUCACUAGUUAAUGUCAGGAACUGCAUUCGUUUCUAUCAGACUGCUGAGGAGCUGAAUGCUAGCACUCUUCUGAAUUAUUGUGCUGAGAUAAUUGCUAGUCACUGGGAUGACUUGCGGAAAGAAGACUUCAGUAGCAUGAGUGCUCAGUUGUUGUAUAAAAUGUUCAAAUCAAAGACAGAAUAUCCUUUGCAUAAAGCUAUUAAAGUUGAAAGAGAAGAUGUAGUCUUUUUGUAUCUUAUUGAAAUGGAUUCACAGCUUCCUGGGAAGCUCAAUGAAUUGGAUCACAAUGGAGAUCUUGCUCUGGAUCUAGCACUCUCUCAAAGAUUGGAGGGUAUUGCAACCACACUGGUCAACCACAAGGCCGAUGUAGACAGGGCAGACAAAAGAGGCUGGAGUCUGUUACAUAAAGCCAUCCAAAGAGGAGAUAAAUUUGCUGCCAACUUUCUCAUUAAAAAUGGUGCCCGUGUGAAUGCUGCUACAUUGGGAGACCAGGAGACUCCGCUGCACCUUGUGGCAUCAUACAGCCCCAAGAAGCAUUUGCCAGAUGUCAUGGCAGAGAUGGCCCAGAUCGCAGAGUCCCUCUUACAGGCAGGAGCCAAUCCAAAUAUGCAAGACAACAAAGGAAGGACCCCUUUACAUGUGUCAAUUGUGGUCAGGAAUGAACCUGUAUUCAGUCAGCUUCUCCAGUGCAAACAACUAGACUUGGAGCUGAAGGAUCAUGAGGGAAGCACAGCUCUGUGGCUUGCAGUUCAGUAUAUCACUGUAUCGUCUGAUCAGUCUGUAAACCCUUUUGAGGAUGCCCCUGUUGUAAAUGGAACCUCAUUUGAUGAGAACAGUUUUGCAGCGAGGCUGAUCCAACGAGGCAGCAAUACAGAUGCUCCAGACACAGUUACAGGAAACUGCUUGCUUCAGAGGGCAGCUGGUGCAGGAAAUGAGGCAGCUUCUCUCUUCCUAGCAACUCAUGGAGCAAAAGUCAACCACCAAAACAAAUGGGGAGAAACACCACUGCAUACAGCCUGUAGGCAUGGCCUGGCAAACCUCACAGCAGAGCUUCUGCAGCAAGGCGCCAACCCAAACAUCCAGACAGCAGAAGUGGUGCCUGGUCAGAAGAAUUCAUCUUCUCCAACAGCAGAGAACGUCUAUCUGCAAACUCCCCUUCACAUGGCUAUUGCUCACAAUCACCCAGAUGUGGUGUCAGUCAUCUUGGAACAAAAAGCUAAUGCUCUUCAUGCUACCAACAACUUGCAAAUUAUUCCUGACUUCAGUUUAAAAGACUCAAGAGACCAGACUGUGCUGGGGUUGGCUCUUUGGACAGGCAUGCACACAAUAGCAGCUCAGCUGCUCGGAUCUGGGGCAUCCAUCAAUGACACUAUGUCAGACGGACAGACUCUCUUACAUAUGGCAAUACAGAGACAAGACAGUAAGAGCGCACUCUUUCUGCUGGAACAUCAGGCAGAUAUAAAUGUCAGAACACAGGAUGGAGAGACGGCCUUACAGCUAGCCAUAAAAAACCAGCUCCCUCUUGUGGUUGAUGCUAUUUGUACCAGGGGAGCUGACAUGUCUGUGCCAGAUGAAAAGGGAAAUCCUCCUUUGUGGCUUGCCUUAGAAAGUAACCUGGAAGAUAUUGCAUCAACUCUGGUUAGACAUGGCUGUGAUUCAACCUGUUGGGGGUCAGGACCAAGUGGCUGCUUACAGACUCUUCUUCAUAGAGCUAUUGAUGAAAACAGUGAACAAAUAGCAUGCUUUCUUAUUCGCAGUGGCUGUGAUGUGAACAGUCCCAGAAAGCCAGGCCCAAAUGGAGAAGGAGAAGAGGAAGCUCAUGAUGGACAGACACCCCUACACUUGGCAGCCUGCUGGGGACUAGAAGAGGUGAUCCAGUGCCUUUUGGAGUUCGGUGCCAAUGUCAAUGCUCAGGAUGCAGAAGGAAGAACUCCAAUCCAUGUUGCCAUUAGCAACCAACAUAAUGUUAUCAUUCAGCUUAUGAUUUCACAUCCAGAUAUUAAGCUAAAUGUACGUGACAGGCAAGGAAUGACUCCGUUUGCGUGUGCCAUGACGUAUAAAAAUAACAAAGCAGCUGAAGCAAUUUUGAAGAGGGAGCCAGGAGCUGCUGAACAGGUAGAUAAUAAAGGUCGGAAUUUCCUACAUGUAGCUGUUCAGAACUCAGACAUUGAGAGUGUGCUGUUCCUGAUCAGUGUACAGGCCAACGUAAACUCCCGGGUCCAGGAUGCCUCCAAACUAACACCUCUGCACCUGGCUGUACAAGCUGGUUCAGAGAUCAUUGUGCGGAAUCUGCUGCUUGCAGGUGCCCAGGUGAAUGAGCUGACUAAGCAUCGUCAGACUGCCCUUCACUUAGCAGCCCAGCAAGAUCUGCCCACAAUUUGCUCAGUCCUUCUGGAGAAUGGAGUGGACUUUGCAGCUGUAGAUGAAAAUGGAAAUAAUGCUCUUCAUCUGGCAGUGAUGCAUGGCCGUCUGAACAAUAUCCGGGUCCUCCUCACAGAGUGCAAUGUAGAUGCAGAAGCCUUUAAUAUUAGAGGCCAGUCACCGAUGCAUGUUUUGGGACAAUAUGGGAAAGACAAUGCAGCAGCCAUCUGUGAUCUCUUCCUGGAGUGUAUGCCAGAAUACCCUCUAGACAAACCUGAUGCCGAAGGAAACACAGCAGGGAAGUGUCUGGCUUUUAUUUUUCAGUGCUCCUUUUGGCUUACAUGAAGGGAAAUGCAAACUUGUGUCGUGCAAUAGUGAGAGCUGGGGCUCGUCUUGGAGUUAACAACAAUCAAGGCGUCAAUAUCUUCAACUACCAAGUUGCUACAAAACAGCUUCUCUUUAGACUGCUGGAUAUGCUGACAAAAGAACCUCCUUGGUGUGAUGGCUCCAACUGCUAUGAGUGCACUGCCAAAUUUGGAGUCACGACAAGAAAGCAUCACUGCCGACACUGUGGACGCCUGCUCUGCCAUAAGUGCUCAACAAAGGAGAUUCCCAUCAUAAAAUUUGAUCUGAACAAGCCAGUUCGAGUUUGCAACAUCUGCUUUGACGUCCUGACUCUGGGAGGAGUUUCCUAGUAUGCUGUGGAAAUAAAGGGAUUCCCAGUCAGUGCUCCUGACAGCAGCUCUGCUUACAAGCCCUCUGGAUAGGGAAGAGGAGGCCUAUACAUGUCUUCUGCAAUAGACUGAACUAAUUAAGGACCCUGUUAUGAUAUAUUCUGGUAUAAAUGACUUUGUAUGACUGUAAAUGUAUUGGGCUGUGAUAGACUUCGCUAGGAAUUCGAGUGGAUUGUUGAAACCAAGUGACAGAAGAAUUUAGACCCUCUUCUAGUUGCAGUGGGGUAUGGAAGCUAAAGUUGUUUGGCUGAUGUUUGAAACAAUAUACAACAGGUCUGUCCUUGACAUGGUGCUUUGCACUGAGCAACUCUAUUAAGUCCUGCGGCUUUCAAGCUGCUUAAUAGAGCUGGCAUUAAGUUUCAGGGUAACCAGGUACCUUUCUUUGCUUUGUCUUAAAGAUAAAUGUUCCCUUUCUCCAGAGAAGACUUCUUGUGAAGCUAGACUGGGCUGUUGCAACCACUGUUCGUUUCAAGAAACUUCAAAAAUGGGUGUAGUUCUAAGCAUAGCUCAAGAAUUGUGGCCUUACAACAGAAAGCUUUACAACAUCUGAUGCAAAGCAGUCAGAAUUGCAGAUCCACAUCUCGAUACCUCCUCAGUAAAUGUCUCAUUGCCUUUAGCAUGUUCAAGAGAAGUGCAAGGUUGUUUUAGCCAGUAAAUACUCUUGCUCGUACCUGCUAGAGCUGUCAAAGUCUACUUGGUUGCACUUUCAUAUUUAUGUUGCUAGUUCUUCCAGAUCAUGAAACUUUUAUAAAUGAGCUUAAAUGCGCUGAAAGGCCUAAGCAUAUGCUAAAUGGAGAAACACUAAAACUGGUUAAGCAGUCUAACUCGCAAUACAGCAAUAAAUGCUGAAGUGCAUUAUGUAUCCCUUGAGGGAGAGUAGCACUUUCCUUUGGUUUAAAGACCCUGGUUAUCUGCUGCAGGAGAGUCAGGAACCUGUGUAGAAUGUGCUGCGCCUCUUAGACAUUACAUUUGGGUCCAGUUUCAAUAGGAUUGCUGAUGAGCGGGAGCAUAUUUGGAGGCUUCCUAUUAAUGUUAAGCCUCUGGCCUUGAAGGAAGGAUUCUGAACUGGCAGGGCACUGCCAGGCAUUUGGAUUAAGCUGCAGUAUUUUAAUCUAGGCUGGUCCUACUUUCAUAAACAUGCUGAAUCUAUAAAUAUCCAACACCACAUUUUUAGGUAAACAGGGAAGUACUUUGAUAGACAAGGGUAAAGGCUUCAGUCAGAAGAACUGUGUGCUGAAGCAAAACCACAUGCCAUGUUAGGCUUUUUUUCAUCCCAAGAGGUGAACCUAGUUUAGACUCAACUGAACAUUCCUCAUCUCUGCUCCAUGAACUAGUGUGUAUUUAUCAUUUAUUGCCCUGUUGGGAAUGGUGAUAUUGUCAGUCUCAGAGUAAUAUGAGAUGAUAAACCAGCCUGCUGCUUUUAUGGGAGACUUGCUUGAGGUUUUUAUCCAACUUGUACAAGAAGAGGAUGGGAGAGGGUAUAAUUGUUGAUGUUUGCACAAUGAAUUUCACAUCAAGUCUCACUUGAUCUGCACUUUGAUCUUCCAAUAUGCAUCUAUUGUAACUGGAAUCUCACCCUUGUAACACUAGAGAAGAAUAAUGGAUGGUAAUACAAAUUCACCUCACUGCUUAGUGUCUGCUGCUGUCACGUUCCAACAGAAUGCCCUGGGUAACACAACUGGUCUCUGUAACACAGUUACUAAUACAAACAGUGCAUCUCUGGCAUAGUGCUCUGUAUACUGCCUUCUAGGUGCGUGAGGUGGAGAAUAAUGGUGUCAAAAGCAUUUAACUGAAAACUACAGGUGUGGGUAAGUAGAAUAGAUGAUGGAAAACAUUGUACUUGUAGUCCAUUGCUUUCUGAUGUUUCAGAAUAUCACUGGCUGCAAAUUUCUAGCAGUAAAAGAUAAGUGAUGGAGAGGAAGUGCAUUUGGUGAAAGAAGUCUUGGCUGUAGUGCAUCCCAUGGUAACAUGCUGACUGCCUCCUUGGUUUGGAGCUGCAGUGCUGUGCAGGGGUGAGCGUGUGUUCAGAACACUGAAAGACCGGGGAGAGGAGUGUUCUUCCAAGGCCACAGCCUAUAGACUUCAGCUUCAUUGGAGAACUGCACAACGUGUCAUUGCUAAAGCACUUAAACAUCAGUUUUUUCAGUGACUUCUCUGACAGGAGGAGCAAGGGAACAGGGUGCUCAGUUCUAACAGAUUAAGGAACCUUUUAAAUUAUGAAAAAUGUAGAUCUUGUGAAAAUUCAGCCUAACUGAAUGGCAAGCUUAAGGUUUUUAAAGUAGAAUAUUAAUUAUAACUGCCUGAAACUCUUGGAAAGAUCUGGGAAACCAUACAUUAAUGCUUCUAGGUGGUUUGUGGGUUUUGUUCUACAGUCAAUACUGUACCAGCUUUCUCACUGAAAGCUGAGGUUACUGCUUAAACUAAUGUACAGCCUAAAGUGUUAAUUCAACUUAAAGCAACUAAAUUCACCAAAUUCGACCAUUUUUUAAAGUGCCUUUGAGAGAGUUUCCUUCCAGCCAACUGUAAGUAGCUUUCUGUCAGAGUUUAACGGAGAAAAGCUCACAACUUGAACCAAAACCCAAGUUAGUUUUCUAGUGCUUCAACUGAAGAGGUUGACCCCACCAAACAACUGGAGGGGCCUGAUCCUUUAGGCACUCUGCCUGAUGUUGGUCUGAGUCUUCAGACCUGUGAGAUUUUGGGGGAGUUUUGCUGGCAAUGCUCUGCUGCGGGGUACAAAUGUGAAUGGAGGCGCUUGGUAACAUAGUAGUGGUCAACACAUUUCUAAUUCCAUAAAGAACUGCUCUUCCUUUUUGUAGCAAACUGCAGUUGUGACCAAAACCCCCAUCCCUCUUACCCUGCUGUUUUUAAGUGGUAUCUGUUAAGACUAAAGUCUGCCAAAUGUUAAACAAAAAGGGUAAAUGGAAAACAAACCCACUUCUUUCCCUGGGCAGUGGCGCUUCAGGCACUUCAGGGCUGCAUGGGAAGUCUGUGGUGGUUUGUACCGCAGUGUUUUGUUCUUAGACUGGAUUCCUUUUGAUUGCAGUCAUCCAGAACUCUUAUACAAGCACAAAAUGUGGUCUGGCUUUUUAUUUGUGCAUCUAAAAAAGGUGUAGUCGCUGUUUCACACCACUAAGUGGAGUGAGGAUGUUGAGUGUUGAAGGUACUAACAGAGCCUAGCAAGCUUCUGGCUGAAAGCUAACACAUGCCUUAAUGAUUUCCUGUGCUGGAGAUCAAUGGCUUGUACAACUUCUGACAUAGUGCUUAUAAUUAACAAGUGACAAUAUGGGAGGCCAAGGCUGGAAUUCUUGUUUGUAGAUCAAAUGUUAAUAGGCAAGUCUUUUUUUUUCUGUAACCAGCAGAGUUGGGUACUGCAGCAAACUCAUCUCUAGAAAAAGCAAAGCUUGUAUGAGUGACAGAAAUAACUCUGAACCUUCUAAUACCCGCUGUGAAAUAGAAAAGGAAGUCUUAGAACAAUGGCAUUUUAUCUGCAAUGUUUGUCUGGAGUCAUUGUAAAAAUGUAUUUUUCCAAUAUACAUUACUUUGUUGUGUAAUGAUUCUACUUGUAAUAAAAUGCAUAACUAGAUAA